rnacentral:rRNA from 1 species
GACGGAGGGUGCAAACGUUGAUCGGAAUUACUGGGCGUAAAGCGCGUGUAGGCGGCCCGGCAAGUCGGAUGUGAAAGCCCUGGGCUUAACCUAGGAAGUGCAUUCGAAACUGCUGGGCUUGAGUUCUGGAGAGGAAGGCGGAAUUCUCGGUGUAGAGGUGAAAUUCGUAGAUAUCGAGAGGAACACCGGUGGCGAAGGCGGCCUUCUGGACAGUGACUGACGCUGAGACGCGAAAGCGUGGGGAGCAAACAGG